GCAAUGGAGCCUACAGACCCGGGAUCUGCGUUGAAAAGUUCAUACAGCCAGAUUCAAAUGCAGUUGGAUAUGUUUUGGAAUCGUUGGAUACGAGAGUAUCUGCCAACUCUUACUAAACGACCAAAAUGGCACACAGACGUUAACCCACUAACUGAAGGAGAUUUGGUCGUUGUGGUAGAUGAACGCCCUAGAAACAGUUGGACGCGAGGCCGUAUCGUACAGGUUAUCAAAGGAAGCGAUGGCAGAAUCCGACAAGCACUUGUUAAAACUGCGAAGGGGGUUUUGCGUCGAUCAGCUGCCAGAUUGGUGGUAUUACAGGUUCAAAGCGUUAGUAAAACUGGAUCAGGUGACGGUGAUCAGUGUUACGGGGGGGAUAAUGUUACUGGCAGCACUGCCCGUCGCGAUGCACCCAUGGAUGACACAGGAGGGGUCGGAAUGGCGCAAACUGCAUAGUGUCAAAACUGAUUUCGCAUCUUCGCUCAAGUUCGCCCGGUUCGAAUCAGUUCAACGGAAGUAAUAAAAAACGAAGCAAAAAUUUUCAUUUCCGGUAGAAAACGUUUUCGCUUCAGACGUAGCUAGAAGAGUAAAGUCGCGCAGUGUUUCGUAGUUGAAAAUUAGAUAGAUUAGAAACAAGACUCUGUUUGAAUUGGACACCUGUUUAUUCCAGUGGCGAUCUGGAUCUAUUCGAAUCUAUAAAGUCAAACUAGCCGAAAACCGAAUACGCGUGGGAGAUCAGCGAUUCUGUAGGAAUCGAAUAAUCGAGUGUGUUGUAGACCGAUUGAUCUAAAAGCAUUGCAAAACAUAAACUAGUGUUUGUACUAGCUCUAAGGAAGUCGGUGCCCACUCCCAUCUCGGUUGACG